UUGUGUAAAGAAACCGUGUGCUUGAUACAUUAUAAAUUUAUCAAAUUAUUUUUUAUUUAUUUCAUGAUAAAGAGAAAAAUAUGGCUAAUGUCACUAAGUUCGUUUAUAUUGCGAUCUACUUUCUUUCACUAUUUUUCAUUGCAAAGAACGAUGCCACCGCAACUUUUUGUCAUGACGACUCUCAUUGUGUAACAAAAAUUAAGUGUGUGCUUCCUCGGACACCGCAAUGUAGGAAUGAAGCAUGUGGUUGUUAUCAUUCCAAUAAAUUUCGAUGACGAUAAAAUGUUCCAUGUGUGAAUUACACAUGUGUUUGUUAUAAUUCAAAUAAAUAUCGCUGAUGAUAAAAUGUUACAUGACAUUUCAUUUAACUAAUGAUUCGGCAUUUAAUAAUUUAAUUUAUUUUGUGUUAUCGCGA